UCUGUGUAUGUGCAAGCAUAAAUGAAAGAAGGGCAAAGAAACCCUAAUCCUCUGUCGCUGGCCGCCUCAUUUUCUCUUUGCCACGUUGUUCAUUCCUCUUCCUAAAAUGGCUUCUCCUUCAAUUUUAAAAAAAAUAAAAAUUAAAGGAGAAUCCAAUAUGAAAUGAGAAGCUAUUUUAGGAAGGGAAUGAAUACGGUGUCGGUGUUAUAAGAGAUAAAAUUAUAAAAUUUUGGCAUCAAUGUGUCUGUUUCAUCAGUAGUUUUCAUUCCUGAAGAGCACGAUCCUAUGAGUAUGAAGCAGUUCAGACCUAUAAGCUUGUGCAACGUUAGUUAUAAAAUCCUGAUGAAAGUUCUGGUUCAACGUAUUCGACCUAUGCUUGAGCAGUUGAUUAGCCCUUUCCAAAGUGCUUUUCUCUCUGGGCACGUAGGUUUGGCUAAUAUUGUGCUGGCUCAGGAAUAAAUGCACACUUAGUCGAAUCAAGAGAAGAUUGGGUUCAUUUGCUCUGAAGAUUGAGUUGGCGAAAUGAUAGCGUUGAUUGUUGUUUUUACACAUUAGACAGUGAUUGUGUUUGGAUUUCCUCCAACAUAUGUUCGACUGAUCAUGUUUUGUGUUUCUAACUCCUUGCUGUCAAUCAUUUGGAACGGUUCUAAACUUCCAUUGUUUUCAACCUAAAAGUGACCUUAGUCAGGGAGAUCCUAAUUUUUGUAUCCUUUUGUUCUGUGAAUGGAGAAACUGUCUCUGCUUAUUGAAAGUAAAGAAGCAACUCAGAAAUGGAGGCCUCUUGUGGUCUCAAAUUUGUGGUAUGGCUAUUUCAUAUCUUCGUUUUGCUUCUAUUAAGAACCUGUUUGGGAUGGUUGGCCGCAUUCCCAAACAAAGCUUUAGGAGACUAUGGAUCGAUUCUGUGCUAGUUCUGGGAUGCUGGUUAAUGAUGCUAAAACGUGAUCUUCUAUUUCUCCUAAUGCAUGCUGUAGACAUAAAGAAGAGCUGAGACAGAGAUUGAAUUUUUCUUUCACAUCUGAUCUUGGGUUGGGGGUGCUUUUGAUUAUCAAGAGAAGUAAGGAGUCCUUUAAGCAUAUUUUAGAGAAAAUUCACUGUAGACUUGCUGGUUGGAAGUGAAAAUUGUUGAAUAAGGCAGGCAGGUACUCUAGUUCAAUCUACCAUUUCUACUAUUCAUCUAUAUACCAUGCAAUCUGCCUGGUUACUGUCCCAUUUCUGUAAGGAGGUUGAUAAAAUUGCUAGGGUUUUUCUUUGGGGAUCUCUAGAUGAGGGACACGGUAUUCAUUUGGUAAAUUGGGAUGCAGUUAAUUUGCCAAAAUAUAGGAGUUUGGGUCUGAGAAUGACAAGAGAUAAUAAGAUUGCCAUGACGGGGAAACUAUGGUGGGAUAUUAAUCAAAGGGGAGAUAAGCCUUGGAUUCAUGUUUAUACAAGAAGUAUCUAGCCGAGGAGUCUCUUGUGUCUCAUCGACCUUCACAGAGAGCUUCUCCGAUACAGAAGGCUAUUUCAAGGUGUUUUCUUUUCUGAAAGAUGGUUAAACUUGGAGAAUUGGUAUUGGCCUGCAAGCCUCACUUUGGUUUGAUAGGUGGAUGACCAAGUGAGGUAGUUAUACAACUAAGUCUGGCUAUGAUUUCUUUACCCGAAUUCCUUAUCCUAUGGAAGCAAAUAUUCACUGGAAGAGCUUAUGGGGAUUAGAUAUUCCCCAAAAACAAUUCUUUCUGUGGCAGCUUGAAUGACAGAGUUCCAACUAAUGUGCUUCGUUUUAAGCGAGGAAUGACUACUCUGUGUAGCAGAUGUGGCGUUGAACAAGAGACAAAAGAGCUUAGGGGAAUAAAGUUCCAACUAAUGUGCUUCGUUUUAAGCUAGGAAUGACUACUCCGUGUAGCAGAUGUGGCGUUGAACAAGAGACAAAAGAGCUUAUGGGAAUUUGAUAUUCCCCAAAAACAAUUCUUUCUGUGGCAGCUUGAAUGACAGACUUCCAACUAAUGGGCUUCGUUUUAAGCUAGGAAUGACUGCUCCUUUGUGAAGCAGAUGUGGCGUUGAACAAGAGACAAAAGUGCAUGCUUUACAUGAUUGUCUGCGGGCUAAAAUGAUGUGGCAACAAUUUUCUGUUUCGACUUCAAUCUAAUUUAUUCUCAUCCACUUGGUCAGACUGGAUUCAUGGUAAAUGUGUUUGAUUGAGAUUUUCAAUGGGAACAACGAAGGCUAUGCUUAUUGAUGAUAAACAAAGAGGUCAUUCAAGGGAGCAGAUGGCUAAUUGGUUUUACAGUCAAGAUUAAUAUGGAUGGCAGAAAUUCUGGCACAUUGUCUCAUGCUGGAAAUGGUGGCACUUUUCCUGAUAAUGGGGGCAGUGGCUAAUUGGUUUUUCAGGGUAUUUUGGCUAUGAAAAUAUCAUGUUGGCUGAACUAGAAGCAAUCAGAGAAGGACCGACGCUGGCUUGGAUUAAGGUAUUCGCCAUGCUAUUGUGAAUUCAGAUUCUCUUGAGGCAGUGCUAGCUGCUGCUGUCGGUGUGCAAUACCGACACAUCCUCUAACAUUGUUUCCGAUAUCCAGUAUCUUUGUCAAGAGGAUUGGAAUGUUGUGUGAUAUUUAGAGGUUCAAAAGUUUUGUAUAGAUUGCAUGCAACUAGAUAACAUAAACUUGCAAUAAAGUUUAAAAUAAGAUCCUACAUCUUAAUACAUAUAUAAAACAAUUGUUAUAUAUCAA